CUCGAGGACGUAUACUCAGUGACUGGAUUAGAGGAGACUCACUAAAUGUUGAGUUGCAGUUAUUGAGACCAGAAGUGGCCCUACAGUGGGGUGCGUUCGCCCAUUUUUCCUUUGUCCUUUUCUUCUCGCUUUUUUGUUCUUCUCCCUUUUUUCUCGCUUUGUUGUUUUUCGCCCUUUUUUUCUCGCCUUUUUUUGUCUUCGCCUUUUUGUUUUUCGCCCUUUUCUCUUCGCUCAUUUUUUUCUAACCCGCCAUUUAUUAAAACAAUCCUCAAAACCUUCAAUGAAAUAAAGCGACUGCUACGCAGGCUAUGCCAGUGGACACACCCUUGAUCUUGUAAUUUCCAGUGUGAUGAUAGCAUUGUUAAAGACAUUACAUUUAGGUACCCUGUUAUAUCUCAUCAUGUGCAGUGUUCUUCAAGUUGUUUUCGCAGAAAACAUCAACCUGUGAAUAAAAUUAUUAACUCCCG